rnacentral:rRNA from 1 species
AGAGUUUGAUCCUGGCUCAGGAUGAACGCUGGCGGCGUGCUUAACACAUGCAAGUCGAACGAAGCAUUUAGAACAGAUUACUUCGGUUUGAAGUUCUUUAUGACUGAGUGGCGGACGGGUGAGUAACGCGUGGGUAACCUGCCUUGUACUGGGGGAUAGCAGCUGGAAACGGCUGGUAAUACCGCAUAAGCGCACAAUGUUGCAUGACAUGGUGUGAAAAACUCCGGUGGUAUAAGAUGGACCCGCGUCUGAUUAGCUAGUUGGUGAGAUAACAGCCCACCAAGGCGACGAUCAGUAGCCGACCUGAGAGGGUGACCGGCCACAUUGGGACUGAGACACGGCCCAGACUCCUACGGGAGGCAGCAGUGGGGAAUAUUGCACAAUGGAGGAAACUCUGAUGCAGCGACGCCGCGUGAGUGAAGAAGUAAUUCGUUAUGUAAAGCUCUAUCAGCAGGGAAGAUAGUGACGGUACCUGACUAAGAAGCUCCGGCUAAAUACGUGCCAGCAGCCGCGGUAAUACGUAUGGAGCAAGCGUUAUCCGGAUUUACUGGGUGUAAAGGGAGUGUAGGUGGCCAUGCAAGUCAGAAGUGAAAAUCCGGGGCUCAACCCCGGAACUGCUUUUGAAACUGUAAGGCUAGAGUGCAGGAGGGGUGAGUGGAAUUCCUAGUGUAGCGGUGAAAUGCGUAGAUAUUAGGAGGAACACCAGUGGCGAAGGCGGCUCACUGGACUGUAACUGACACUGAGGCUCGAAAGCGUGGGGAGCAAACAGGAUUAGAUACCCUGGUAGUCCACGC